NGGGGGGGUGGGCCGGAUACGUUCUGGAGCUGUCAGCAGCCUGUGGGUUAAAGGAGAGGUAACAGAGGAGGCCUGUGAGAAUGGGAGGGGCCGAUUGCGCAAGGCCUUGUAAAUUAGUUGAUUUUAUCCGAAGGGCCGUGAUUUUAUUCGAAGAGCCUUGGCCGAGAAGGGAACAAUUGUGUUUGCAUUUUUUAAAGAUCGCUGGUCGCAGUAGGGAGAAUGGAUAGGAGGGAACGAAGUUAGAGGCAAGGAGACCACUUGGGGAGUUUUUUACCCAGGCAGGAGACAGGGGUGAUCCGCCCUAGAGAAGGGCGACUGCAGGCGGAGAAAACUAGAUCGGGGAUGGGGAAGAGGCCGAGGUUAUUUCCCAGUGCUCUGACUUGGACAACUGGGGGAAAGUGAUGCCAUUUUCUGUUUUGUUUUGGGGGAGAGAAUGAGUUUUCGGUGCCUGUGGGAUGCCUAUCAGACCACUGAAUAUUCGGUAACGUGGAUUGGAAGCCCGACGGAAAAGUGUGAGGUGUGCGUGCGCGCGAGCGAGCGUGUGAAGGUCGAUAGUUGUUGAAGCCGGGGAAGUGGAUAAGACGGCCUGGAGAGGGAUGUCUGCGUCUGAAAAAUGAGAUGAGGGAAGAGAACAGGAAAGGGGGGCGUUGAGAAGGGGCAGACGAGGGGAAGAAGGAAUCCAGGAGAGAAGUAUCAGGGAACCUGGUCAAAGUGAUAAACGUAAGAGAUUAGGUAAACGUGGACUAAAAUGUGACCCAGUGGGUAUUGCAAAAUUGCCUUUAGUAAUUUUGAAGCACCUUGUUCCAGAGAUAUGGUGGGAUAGGAACCAGAGUAAGUUGAAUUGAGCGACUGGAAAGGGACAGUGUAGACCGUUUUCUCAAGGUGUCGUCUGUAAAAAAAGGGGGCCUGGCAGUCGAGUGUAGCCCGAGGCUGAAUUCCAAAGAAAGGGAAGGAGUUUUCGCUGCCUGUGGGAUGGCCAGAGCUACCAAUGGCGAUUGAAUAUACAGAUCUAAUAGUAGAAGUAAAUUAAAUGGAAAUUACUACCUGGGGAAAAAAAAGCAAUGCUAGAAGAAUCCACACAGCACAUUUACACAGGCAUUAAAAAAUUGACCAUGAAGCGUGUGGGCCUGCGCAGGGUGGAAUUUAUACUUUUUAUUUUAGAUCCGUCUUUACUGUUUGAAUUUGUUUUCCUAUGUACAUAUGUGGUCUUUACAGAAAACUACUUUUUUUUGUAAACUUAGUGAUAUAUAGGUCAGAAAUUCGGAAUUACGAACAUUUCAGUGGCAGUUGAAGCUGUAGAUUUGGGUCAACUCCAGAGAACAGCAGAGGGCUAAGGAGAGUGCUUUGGGGAGAAUUCCAGCAUUUAAGGUACAAGUAGAGGGGCGCCUGGGGGACUCAGUCGGUUGAGCGUCUGACUUCAGCUCAGGUCAUGAUCUCACGGUUCGUGGGUUCGAGCCCCACAUGGGGCUCUGUGCUGCCGGCUCAGAGCCUGGAGCCUGCUUCCGAUUCUGUCUGUCUGUCUCUCUCUGUCUCCCUUCUCUGCUUGCUCUCUCUCAAAAAUAAACAUUAAAAAAGAAAUUUUUUUUUAAGUCCAAGUAGAAAAAGAGCCCUCGGAGAAUCUUUGAAGAGGAACAGCCAAUGAGAAAGAGUAGAAAUGGGGUGAUAACUGUUGUAGAACCGGAGGGAAGAGAGUGAGUGUUUCAAGAGGAUCACAGUCGUUAAAAGUGUCAGAUGUCCUCAGGAAGGCACCUAACAGGAAACGUGCUUUUCGUUCCAGGCCUACUUUUUCUGGAAGCUUGGCACAGAGGUCACGUGCAGGUCAUGAACCUUCCCCCAGAUAUGUGGAAUCUGAUCCCCGUGCUUUGCACCCUUAUGCAUCAUGGCUGCCAGCCCCAUCUCAGAAUCCGGUUCUGACACCACCCAUGUUUCCACACUCAGCAUUGCUGCCUCUCCCGUUCCUUGCCAUGGCCCUGAAGCUGCCCUCCAGAAAAAACCCGUGUUGGGGCACCUGGCUGGCUCAGUGGGUAGAGCAUGCGACUCAAGAGUCUCAGGGUUGUGAGUUCAAGCCCACAUGGGGUGUCGGGGUUACUUAAAAUUGGAAGUGGAGGGGCGCCUGGGCGGCGCAGUCGGUUAAGCGUCCGACUUCAGCCAGGUCACGAUCUCGCGGUCCG
rnacentral:lncRNA from 1 species